CCUACGGGAGGCAGCAGUGGGGAAUAUUGGGCAAUGGGCGCAAGCCUGACCCAGCAACGCCGCGUGAAGGAAGAAGGCUUUCGGGGUGGAAACUUCUUUUUACAGGGACGAAGAAAGUGACGGUAGCGGAGGAAUAAGCCACGGCUAACUACGAGCAAGCAGCCGCGGCAAUACGUAGGUGGCAAUCGUUAUCCGGAUUUAUUGGGUGUAAAGGGCGAGUAGGCGGGAGCGCAAGUCAGAUGGGAACACUCAGGGCUCACCCCUGAGCCUGCAUUUGAAACUGUGUUUCUUGAGUGCUGGAGAGGCCAUCGGACUUCCUUGUGUAGCGGUGAAAUGCUUAGAUAUAC
rnacentral:rRNA from 1 species